rnacentral:rRNA from 1 species
GACGAACGCUGGCGGCGUGCUUAACACAUGCAAGUCGAACGGAAAGGCCCUGCUUUUGUGGGGUGCUCGAGUGGCGAACGGGUGAGUAACACGUGAGUAACCUGCCCUUGACUUUGGGAUAACUUCAGGAAACUGGGGCUAAUACCGGAUAGGAGCUCCUGCUGCAUGGUGGGGGUUGGAAAGUUUCGGCGGUUGGGGAUGGACUCGCGGCUUAUCCGCUUGUUGGUGGGGUAGUGGCUUACCAAGGCUUUGACGGGUAGCCGGCCUGAGAGGGUGACCGGCGACAUUGGGACUGAGAUACGGCCCAGACUCCUACGGGAGGCAGCAGUGGGGAAUAUUGCACAGUGGGCGGAAGCGUGAUGCAGCAACGCCGCGUGCGGGAUGACGGGCUUCGGGUUGUAAACAGAUGUCGCAUGUGACGAAGCGUGAGUGACGGUAAUGGGUAAAGAAGCACCGGCUAACUACGUG